CAAUUGCGCCUGUUCCCGUAUCUUCUAAUCACUUCCUAUCUCAACCCAAAACCCUGGAAAAACAAAAACAAAAACAAAAACCGAAUAAAGUCAGAGAGAGAGAGAGAGAGAGAGAGAGAGAGAUUCUGGGAUCAUCGUUUUCCACUUAUUCGUAUUUGAAUGGAGGGUCAAGAAGUUAUGGAGGGAGUGAGAGAGGUGGGUGUAGACCUUCUUGAGGAUUUAGAUUCGUAUUUAGAGGAUAUCAACAACCGAUUAACAAUUUCGAGGAUGGUUAAUGACUCUGUUAUCAAGGGGAUGGUAAAAGCAGUUCAACAAUUGGCGGCCGAGGAAAUCGCCGCCAAAGAAAUGGAGGUUGCCGUCCUAAAGGAGAAAUUGCAUUUUCUCCAACUGCAUGUUGAUAAAUGCGAGACUAUGUUUGGAAAAUAUAGAAAGCUUAACUUUUGUUUAGAGUUGUUUUUGUCUUUUCUUAGCUUUUCUCAGUGUUUGGUAAAAAAAAUUCUUUUUCCUGCUUGUAUUGACCAUAGAAACCGAAAAAACUAAGAGAUAUAGUCCCCACCCUUUGGACUAGUUCGAUUAAGUGUAAAAAAAUAUAUCCAAACUUUCCUAUUUUUUACUUUUUAGAGAAUAUGUUUAUCUGGUCCAUUUUGAACCGAAAAGUAAUGAGUUUUUUUAUCAGAAGCUAUGGAAAAGUUAAAUAAAGACAAAAACAUGUUGCGUAAAACUUUCUUUUUAGACAUUCCAAACAUAACCCAUUAUUAGGGUCUUCGGUAAUAUACCAUGAGCCUACUCGGAAUGUGGGAAAAGGAUUGUGUUCUGAUGCUUUAGUGGAACAUGAGAGAAUCACCAUGUAGUGACAACACACGAGAAAGAGAUCGAUAUCAUAAGAUUUGGUUGGGGUGGGUGGAAUUCUCCAUUAGUAGGCAUAUGAAAGCUUGUGGAGAUUAACGGCUCGAAUGCGAAGUAUUGCGUGAAAAUGAUAUUGGAGAUUCCUUGAACCUCGGAAAAAAGGGAAAUCAGGAUUAUUGAUUGAAGCAGGGAAAAGAUUAAAAGCAAGAACUCCUUUUACUAGAAACAUCACUGGCCAAAAAGGAGCACUUAGCCCUAGAAUUUUCUGCUGCAAUGGCUAAAGAAAAGGAGAGAUUUGAGCUAGCUUCUCAAGAGACAACAUUAGAAAUACCAGCCAAGUUGGCAAGAAAUUUUAGUUUCUAAAAGAGCGUGGAAGGGUGAGUUAGCUGAGGCACUGGAGCAAGUUAAAGUUCAUGAAGUGGAAACAAACAAAUUCAGUCAAAAGCUUGAACUGAUGGCAAAGGAGUUAUAGGAAGGUGAUGAGCAGGGAGCAGGGAAAUAUGCUUCUUGCUGUUACACGGACGAAGGAAAAUCAUGUUUUAUUGCCUAGAGGGGAAGAUAAUGAUCAAAGGAAUCAAAUGCAAGACAUAACGAACUUCUAAGCUAUGAUUUUGAAUGUUGAGGUUCAGGGUGCCAAAAGAAUAAUUUGAGGUAAUUCUAGUUCCAAAAGACUUUUUAUUUGUAUCUGUAUUAUGAAUAUAUCAAAUAAAUUUGCAUGUGUGCUCUCAAAAUUAGUAUUGUUGUACACCUUUAGGUUUUCACUGAUUGUUGCAACUUUGUUCAAUGUAUUUAGUAUGACAUUAAGCCACACGGCCCUGUCAUCUGUUGUAUCUAUGGAGGUUGGCCUUAAAACAGGUCCAUCCUGCAGUCUUAAUUUUAUUCCCAUCCCCAAAACGGGGAAAAAAAGAAGAAGAAGGAAACAAGAAGAUUGUGGAUUGAAGAGGAGGAAAGAUUAAAGAAAGAGGUCCUUUUACUAGAACUCUAUAGUUUCUAAAAAGCAUGGAAAUAAACUUUAUAAAGGAUGAGUCGGCUGAGGCGCUAGAGCAAGUUGCAGUUCAUGAUGCGGAAACAUAAGCUUAGUAAAAAGCUUGAACAAAUGGCAAAGAAUUUAUAGGGAAGUGAUGAACAGAGAGGUGCGCUUAUUGUUGUUAUAUGGAAGAAGGAAAAUGAUGUUUUCUUGCCUAGAGCAAAGGAAAAAGAGCAAAGGAAGCAAAUGCAAGAAGUAAUGGACUUCCAAAAGCACUGUCUGAUUCUGAAUGUUGAGUAGCUCCGGGUUUCCAAAGAAUAAAUUGAGGAAAAACUUCGAAUUUUCCAAUUCGAACUCUGAAACAAGAAAGGAAAGUGUUAACUGUGGAAGGUGAACAAACAGAGGGUACGUAACAGAUCAGACUGCAAUAACUGAAAAUCCCAGGAAGCCUAAGUGUUGGACUAGCUUAAUUGGCAAUUGUUUCUUGUAGAACAUGAUGUCAGGCAGAGCCAAGUUGAAAGAGCUACAUUGGCUGGAGGAGAAGGCCAGAGCAAAUGGGGCAUUAGAGAGGAAUAGGAGAACUGCAGAGAAGGAAGGCCCAAAAUAAGGCCACCACAAAAGUAAGCUGAACAGUAAGAGAAGUUGACUCCCGUAAACUUUAUUAUUAAUGCUCUUUAGGUUCAUUCUGAUGGCUGUGGAUUUCAAACGAACAGAAUUAACAUCAGGACUCGACCUGGGUAGCUCAAAUUUAGAUUUGAUAGUGAUUUGAAUCUAUCGUGUUAAGGGAGCUAGUCAUACAAUGAUCCCAGUGAAAUACAUCUGUUCUACUUUUUUAAUCAUCUUCCAAUCUAAUUUCACAAACCAUGUAUUAACUACACUUCUGACAUUAUUGUUAGUAUUAGACAUCAAAUCCCUUCAUUUGAAGGCCUGGUCAAUCCAAACGAAGCCUUAAUCUAUUUAAGCACUAGCAGUAACGAGGAAGAAGCACAUGCGUAUCACUCUUGCCUGAAGUUAUUUUUUGUUUUCAUAUUCCUUAAAAAUGAAGAAAAUAGCGUUUGUGCCGGAGGGGGAGAAGAAGCAGAGAAAGAAGGCAGCUGCUGCAAAAUACCCAUUUGUAAAUACCAAGGAGCUGGAAAUCAAAGAUAGUCCUUUGACUAUAACAAAACAGCCUUAAAAAACAUUCCAGUUCACUAAGAGCAAGACAAAUCUCUCUCCACCUCUUCGCAACAGGCGUAGAAGAAGGAUUACGCAGCACAUUUUGGUACUUCUUACGGCUGUGUUUGUUCUGGCCCUUUUCUUGUUGGGUAACAUUGGCUUCUAUUCCAACCUUCGGCGCAACACUGAGAUACAAAGCCGAAGGUAUGGAUUCUGAAUACUUGUGCGAAUUAGUUGGCAAUCAAGUGGGGUUAGGUGGGACAAGAUGAGAUAGACAAGUGAGGUAAACGUCGUAUAUUGAAGAAUGGAGUGUCGUAAGAUGUCAAAAGAAUGCAAUAGAGAAAAAUAUAUGGCAGGGUUACCGACUCUUAACUUGUCAAAGCGAGCUCAUUCAUUGUCUAUUCGCUACUUGGUUUCUUCUCCUUUUGUUUGCUUUCAGUUGUAAAUGGUUUUCUAUUUCACAAGCAUUCAGUAUCUAAGUUCUGCUACGUACUAUUUGAAUUCUGACCCACAACAGAAUUAUUUCGGCGUUGCUCCAGAGCGGUAAUUGAAUUCUGAACCACAACUGAAUUAUUUCAGCGUUGCUCCAGAGUGGUAUCAUUGCUGAUUCCUGGCAGUGUUUUGCCUUUCUCUCAUUUGCAAACGGAAGAUCUUGGAAUUUGAAAAUCCUUGGCCAGUUCAUGAUGGUUUUGCAGGAACAUGGGAGCCUAGUGUGCUUAAAGCACGACAGGAGCACCUGUGACAUGUGAUAGGCGCCUAAAUGUUCAUAUUAGCGCCCCCUAAUUUAUCCUUGUUAAGUCCAUUUAUAUUGUUACUUGGAGAUUAGUGAUUCAUUUCUCGUGUUUGUAAGUUUAACAUUUUAAUGAGUUAAAGUGCAAACUUUAAUAAGCUUGGGGGCCCGCUCGUAGCAUGUGCUAAGCUUUGAGGACCUGGAGUGCAUUAACUCCAUUAUUGGCGAAAAUCGUGAGCGAGGGCCAGAGGAAAAGGAGGCUUUGUUUUCCUGGCAACAAAUUUAACCAAAGAAGAGGGCUUGCUUUGAGGGACGGCAUAUAAAAGGAGCAAUAUACGCACAUGACGAGACCACGCUUGGAGACCAUUCGGUUGAGAGCAGAUUAGAAAGAAAAAGCUGUGUUUCCAUGGCCGGCUAAACCCAUUGUCUAGGGGGGCGAUGAAACUUCGCGCCAAGUAACUUCGUUUAUGCCUACGUUUUGGAUUAUUAUUCGAGUUUAUUGUAAAACUCAGAACCCUUUUCAUUGCAAUUGAAUGAAUUGAUUUUAAAUCUUCCUAU